GGGAAUAGGGUCUAUAGUAGUACCACUAUAUAGGGAAUAGGGUCUAUAGUAGUACACUAUAUAGGGAAUAGGGCUCUGGUCUAAAGUAGUACCACUAUAUAGGGAAUAGGGCUCUGGUCUAAAGUAGUACCACUAUAUAGGGAAUAAGGCUCUGGUCUAUAGUAGUGUACUAUAUAGGGAAUAGGGCUCUGGUCUAUAGUAGUGUACUAUAUAGGGAAUAGGGUCUAUAGUAGUACCAUUAUAUAGGGAAUGGGGUCUAUAGUAUACCACUAUAUAGGGAAUAGGGCUCUGGUCUAAAGUAGUACCACUAUAUAGGGAAUAGGGCUCUGGUCUAUAGUAGUACCACUAUAUAGGGAAUAAGGCUCUGGUCUAUAGUAGUACCACUAUAUAGGGAAUAAGGCUCUGGUCUAAAGUAGUACCACUAUAUAGG
ensembl:lncRNA